CUUCAGGUUCUGGGACCCGCUUGGAGUCGGCUUCGUCCAGGCAGGCUUGCGGCUGCGCAUGCUCAGGUGCAAAGAACCGUUCACCCAAACAACCACCCACCCACUCGUGCCUUCUGAGCGUGUCCUGUGCAGGUGCCAGGUGGGGAUGCCUGGAUAAGAAGGGACCUGUUUUUCCCAUAGGCCGUAGUCACGCAAACCCGACCUCGAGUGCCUGAGGGGCCAGGGCACAGUGACUCAUAGCCACAUUGACCUGUGUCAUAUUUUUUGUGACUGUUUGCUGGUCUUGCCCGCGGAUGAUGGCAGCCCCAAGUAGUCUCUGACAAAGAGUAGGCCUAAGUAUAGGUGUGAUGUAUGGACUAAGUGUGAGCCCCACCAUUCCUGGGUUCGUUUGUGCUCCUGUCUGAGGUGCGUGCGCAGGCCGCAGGAUGAGCCCUGGAGUCUCCUUUUCCUUCCUGGAGGAGCUCCUGCCCGUUAUGGGGGAAAAACUCAAUGAGGAGAAGGUUGUGAAGCUUCGCCUGCUCUUUGAAACAGCCAGAACACUGCCUGUGGCCCUGGAGGGAACAAGUGAGCAGAGACCAUUAACCACUGCUGCUCAGCACCGCUGAGAGAAUUUCCUACUUCACACUGCAGGACAGGACUGGAACCGGGAAAAGGCAAACAAAGCGCACUCUCAUCUCCAGUAGCGUCUUAGGAACUCCUUCAUUGUCCAUUCAAGACCUGGGAAGUCCACAGCCUUCUUUUGCCACUAUCCUUAGGAUCCUUGGGCUGGAGAGAUGUGUUCAAAUGUGGGUACUUCUGGUGUCUCAG